UACGUAGGGUGCGAGCGUUAAUCGGAAUUACUGGGCGUAAAGCGUGCGCAGGCGGUGAUGUAAGACAGGUGUGAAAUCCCGGGGGCUCAACCUCGGAACUGCAUUUGUGACUGCAUCGCUGGAGUGCGGCAGAGGGGGAUGGAAUUCCGCGUGUAGCAGUGAAAUGCGUAGAUAUGCGGAGGAACACCGAUGGCGAAGGCAAUCCCCUGGGCCUGCACUGACGCUCAUGCACGAAAGCGUGGGGAGCAAACAGG
rnacentral:rRNA from 1 species